GAUUGACCUCGGAUCAGGUAGGGAUACCCGCUGAACUUAAGCAUAUCAAUAAGCGGAGGAAAAGAAACCAACAGGGAUUGCCUCAGUAACGGCGAGUGAAGCGGCAACAGCUCAAAUUUGAAAUCUGGCUCCUUCGGGGCCCGAGUUGUAAUUUGCAGAGGACGUUUCGGGUGCGGCCCGGUCUAAGUCCCUUGGAACAGGGCGUCAUAGAGGGUGAGAAUCCCGUAUGUGACCGGUGACCAACCCCAUGUGAAACCCCUUCGACGAGUCGAGUUGUUUGGGAAUGCAGCUCAAAAUGGGUGGUAAAUUCCAUCUAAAGCUAAAUACUGGCCAGAGACCGAUAGCGCACAAGUAGAGUGAUCGAAAGAUGAAAAGCACUUUGGAAAGAGAGUCAAACAGUACGUGAAAUUGUUGAAAGGGAAGCGCUGGCAACCAGACCUGCCCCGGGCGAUCAGCGGGUGUUCUCACCCGUGCACUCGCCCGCGAUCAGGCCAGCAUCGGUUUCGGCGGUCGGAUACAGACCCGGGGAACGUGGCUCUCUUCGGGGAGUGUUAUAGCCCCGGGUGCAAUGCGGCCAGCCGGGACCGAGGACCGCGCUUCGGCUAGGAUGCUGGCGUAAUGGUUGUCAGCA
rnacentral:rRNA from 1 species